rnacentral:lncRNA from 1 species
UUCCUCUCUCCAGAGGACCUUUCCUGCCUAGGACUCAUGAUUGUCCCCUCCCUGCUGUUGCCUAGUUUCCUGGUAUUAAGGAGAAUCAACUCUCUGGAUAAACGUGGUAAAUAUGGCCCAUAGUCCCAUCUUUUUACAGGCAUUUUUUACACCUGGAGCAGCCAGAGGACGCAUGCAUGGCUCUUCGGAAGGUAAUUUAGGGAUCACCCAUGUAAGUUUCCUAAGGAUUUCUUUAACAUGGUUCUUCUGAUUCAGUCCGGCCAAUUAAAUCUAAAUCCACCCCUGAAAGCCAUCUGGUGUGGAUAACAAGCCCACAAAUGAGCAGUCAGCUUUUU